UAUUCGAAGGCUGACGUGAACCCGUUUUCAAUUGUUGUCCUCUGCCAAAUAUAAGUUAAAGGCAUCAUGCAAAGUUCUUAGAGGGAACCGAGCGCCGACGUUUUCUUGUUCGACUGACGUAAAGGGUUGACGUGGCACCUCGCUAUGACAUAGUUGUUAAUUAACAUGUUAAUCUAACUUUUUCCCUUAAACCAUUAAAGUUUUAUUAACAUGUUAAUCUAACUUUUUCCCUUAAACCAUUAAAGUUCUAUAGCAGAUUCAAAUAAGGCAGAGAAAAAUUAAUAAUCUAAAUAUUUAAUUUAUGAUUUUGCUCAGCUGUGUUUUAUUGUUUCAGCGUUUCACGCGGGAGUCAUUCAUUAAAAACAGGAAUUUAUCAGGGGACAAUUAAUAAUUGCUCAUCAGUGAAAACUUUUCAUUUUGGUGCUUAGAUGCUAUUUUUGAAUAGCUGAAGUCAUACAUCUACCUGAACAAAUUAAUUAGCUGCUAUCUGAAGCUGACGUGAACAUACUUUCCUUUGUCCCUCUUUUGUACCAACCAAACAAGAAAAAACAGCAAUUUUAAAAUGUUUCGAUCUAACUUAACUUUUCCAACAUUAGCUCUUCUUAACUUCUUGAUAAUUUGUUGUUUGAGCAGCUCAGCGCAACCAGGUAGAGGAGAUGGUUUUCCGGAGUGGCGUCCCUUGCAUACUUACGAAGGAGAUGCACUUUUGUACAGCAGACUCAUCGACGGUUUGCGAAAUGGAGAAAUGGAACAGAUCGAAACCAUGCAUCAGCCGCGAAGUCAAUGGAAACGAAUGUUGGAAAAACGACCAUUUGGCAACUACUUUCCACGUGACGGACAAAAGAAAACGGCGAGCAUGUAUUGAAAGCAGGAAUCAAGUACAAAUAGCUUCUAGCUGCAAUCGAUCACUUGACACUCAGCGGCUCGUAUUCAGAGAUUGGAUCAAAUGAAUUUUAGAUUGUUUUAAAUUAUUCUAAAAAUUGUCAUACAACCACUUUCUAAUUCACUCUCCGAAUCACUA